AGAAGUAAAAGUCGUAACAAGGUUUCCGUAGGUGAACCUGCGGAAGGAUCAUUAAUGAGUUGUCAUGGGGUUCGAUGCUGGCAGCCAAUUUUUGGAUGCAUGUGCUUGCCCUAACAAUCAUCUUCCAAACACCUGUGCACGUUUUUGAGGGAGUCUUGAGUUGGUUGCCGCUCUUGGGUGGUUUUCUCACAUUCCCUUAAAUCAUUAUACGCUAUUAAUAAUGUUGAACGUGCUCUGUGCCGCAAGGCUAUUAAUAUAAUACAACUUUUAACAACGGAUCUCUUGGCUCUC
rnacentral:misc_RNA from 1 species